rnacentral:rRNA from 1 species
AACGAACGCUGGCGGCGCGCCUAAUACAUGCAAGUCGAGCGAGAAGACGUAGCAAUACGUUUGUAAAGCGGCGAACGGGUGAGGAACACAUGGGUAACCUACCCUAGAGUGGGGAAUAACUAGCCGAAAGGUUAGCUAAUACCGCGUACGCUCCUUGGACUUCGGUACAGGGAGGAAAGCGAUACCGUGGGUAUCGCGCUCUUGGAUGGGCUCAUGUCCUAUCAGCUUGUUGGUGAGGAACGGCUCACCAAGGCUUCGACGGGUAGCUGGUCUGAGAGGACGAUCAGCCACACUGGCACUGCGACACGGGCCAGACUCCUACGGGAGGCAGCAGUAAGGAAUAUUGCGCAAUGGGCGAAAGCCUGACGCAGCGACGCCGCGUGGGGGA